ensembl:lncRNA
AUGGGGGAGUGAUUGCUUCCUACAAGAUCUCAAAAUGUGUGCAUUUCUAGACAUCUUUGAAAGGCAGGUCAGUAAGUGUCAUGAAAACACAGGAGAUUGAUGUGUUGCGGGCCCUCUGGAAAGUCCCGAAAUAUGCCCCUGAGCCGUGUUGGUGAAGGAAGCAAAGCAUGUAUAUAGAUCUGAGCCAUCAGACGACUCUUCAAGAAGGCCACUACGCUCCAGAUCACCAUCUGUGCUCAGGGGUCCUCGAUGAGGAUCUACCCCAUCACACCACUCGUAUUAAUCAUUAAUCAAAUAAAACAAUGGGCC